rnacentral:tRNA from 1 species
GUUUUUGUAGUUGAAUUACAGCAACAGCUUUUCAAGCUGUAGGUCUAGGUUAGAGCCCUAGCAGAAAUG